rnacentral:lncRNA from 1 species
AAGCUGAGGAAAAAUUUUCACAGUAUUUCAAAAACUAAAAUAUUUAGAAAUUCAAGUGAGUUAUGUUUUGAGAAAACUCAAUAUGGGAGGCAAAAUAUUAUUAAAUGAAUAUAGUUAAAACAGGAAAGUUGGUAUUACUCCUAGAUUUGGAAAAAAAUGUUUCAAAGUUGUUAGAGUGAACUUUGAUUUUUAAAAACCUCAAAUUACAUUUCACAGGAAAGCAAAGCAUUUUGUAACAGAAGGUAGACUUUAUAUUCUAUAACUGCUUACUAAGUCAAGGCUGUCUUCUGCCCUCUGUAUUUCCAGUUUAGUACAGUUUUAUAGAGAACUUCUCCAUGAAAGCAGGGGAGAGGUUUGUUAUCUAUCCAGCUCUGAUUUGCCUGGCCCAUUUAUUUCCACAGUGUAUCACAGGCUGUGUGCUGGUUUCCUUAAGCUUCCUGGAUCCCAAAGGAAGCUGGAGGAACUUGUGCGCCAGUCAUCAGCAAAGCCCGGACACCCAGCUGAACGAAUCCCUCAGUGAGCUGCCCACGAGCCCUCAGGAGUCCAGCUCAUGCCUAGUGCUCUUCCCAGCAUGGACAGGCUCUGAGGUCUAUUUCCCUCACUAAGCCCACAAUGACAAAAAAAAAAAAUCACAGAACCCAUGGAUCUUGGUGAAGAUUUCCAGAUCAAUGGGAGAAAUUGGAGACUCUCAUGAUGCUGAAGUCCAGACAGCAAGGAGUAUGUGGCUAGAGACAAGUUGCCUUCAUUCCUGGACCCUCCUCCAAAAGUCCCUCCCUCCCCUCUCUCUCUAUCUCCCACUCACUCUGCUAUUUCUGCCCUCAGGUAAUUUGUAAUCAUUUGAUACAAUAAAGAUGACCUUGUGUUUAAGUCACAAGAUAAUGUCUUCUCAGGAAAUGCAUCUUGUUCAACGUCCACUCCAGCAACUAGCUGUUGGGAAUUUUUGAAGACAGAGAGCAGAUCUAUUUCCAAGAUACCCUUUUCUAGAUGUCAUCCUUUGGUUAGCGCAGAAGCUCUUGGGC